CUUCCGGUAGUGCUGAAGCCAGGCUGGCCUCGGCCAUUCUGGGACACGUUCACGGCUUGGCUUCUGCAGAUUCCAUUCCUUCCUCUGAGGUUACUCUUCAAACAGAUGCCCGCUUGGCAUGUCCUUUACUUAUCUCGGGCCCUUCCUUGUCAAUGGGCUCCUUCUUGGGACUCCUCAUGUAACCCAGGAUGGCCUCAAACCCAAUAUGGCUUACACAGUGACCUUGGACUUCUGAUCCUCCUGCCUCCAACUCCUGGGUGCUAAGACUACAGGCAUGCACACCUUGUAUGCUUCUCCUUGUAUGCUUCUCCUUGUAUGCUGCGCUGGCUCUUGGACCCCCAGGGCUUCCUUCAAGCUUGGUAAAUACCCUACCUCUAAGGUACAUCCUCACCUUUCUGCCUGUGCAAGUCAGGAGCAAAGAGCAAACAGACCUCUCAUGGCAGCACCAGGAAAAACCAACCCUCCUGACACCCCGAUGUUGGGCUUCUGGCCUCCAGAAUCAUGAGUCAAUAAAUGCCUAUGGCUAAAUUCUAAAAAAAAAUACACCCUCAACUUCUUCAGCAGUUCGGUCCUCUCUCCAGAGUGUUGGCGGAGAUUGAUAAAAGGGAAUAAGUAAUAUCAUUAAGACUUGAUAUUGAUUUCAUCCUUUUAUCCUUUAUGAUGUUUUGUCAUAUUUCAUCUACCUUAAAAAUGUGUGUUGCUGCUCUUUCUUCAUAUAUCUGGAACCAAGAGAGAAACUUGCCAUUUUACAUUAAAUUUCUCUUUUGUUUGCUGUG